ACUCAUACUUUGUAGGGGAAAUACACUGUUGUAAAAAUUGUUUUCCCAGGGGGAGGCUCAUCCGUUGCACUUUGGGUGUGCUGCUAAUCCCUGUGAUUUUCCUAAAUGUGGGGAACUCAACUACAUAAUUUGUGUUAAUGGGGGCAUCAUGUAUGUGAUUUCUCUG
rnacentral:snRNA from 1 species